rnacentral:rRNA from 1 species
GUGGGGAAUAUUGGACAAUGGGCGAAAGCCUGAUCCAGCAAUGCCGCGUGAGUGAAGAAGGCCUUCGGGUUGUAAAGCUCUUUUACCCGGGAAGAUAAUGACUGUACCGGGAGAAUAAGCCCCGGCUAACUCCGUGCCAGCAGCCGCGGUAAUACGGAGGGGGCUAGCGUUGUUCGGAAUUACUGGGCGUAAAGCGCACGUAGGCGGCUUGGGAAGUUAGGGGUGAAAGCCUGGAGCUCAACUUCCGAAUUGCCCUUAAGACUGCGUCGCUUGAACACGGGAGAGGUGAGUGGAAUUCCGAGUGUAGAGGUGAAAUUCGUAGAUAUUCGGAAGAACACCAGUGGCGAAGGCGGCUCACUGGACCGUAGUUGACGCUGAGGUGCGAAAGCGUGGGGAGCAAACAGGAUUAGAAACCCCGGUAGUCC